AUUGGUAGUAGCAGGGUCCUUGGUGAGAAUAAAUCUAAUUUUAUGUGAGAAUAGAUGUAAAAUUAGGGGCUCCUCUAAAAAUGACAAUGGGUUUCGUUGGGAUAAAGUCUUUUAAUAUGUCAUCUUGCUUUAGAAUGUGCCAGUGUUUGUUGAUGAUUUUCUUAAUAGUUUUAGUUUUAUUGUUGAAAUUAAAAAUGACUGGCAUAAAAGGGGAGUAUUGGUUAAUUUCUUACUUUGUAGUCUAGGACAUCCUUUCUACUUUUUUGUUUUACUAUCUCCAAUGUUUUAUUAAGGUUUGGAUAGAAUAUUAGAUACACAGAGGAAUGAAUCACAACCUUAUUCUCUCUCUUGUCGAAUAUGACAGCCUUGGAAUGAUUACUUUUAAAAUGACUCAUUCCAUAGACAUGGUGGACCAAUAAGUACAAGUGCUAUGCCUCAUUGACAAAAUAUUGCACUUCAAAAUUGUACUGCAAAGCCAGUUUUGUAAAUGGGGAGCCGCUGAUUG